rnacentral:tRNA from 1 species
GCGGGAGUGGCGAAAUUGGUAGACGCACCAGGUUUAGGUCCUGACGCCUAUGGCGUGCCGGUUCGAGUCCGGCCUUCCGCA